rnacentral:lncRNA from 1 species
AAGGGCUGAAUGCGAAAUAGACCCUUCCACAAAAACACGCAGAUCCUGCUAGCGGGUCGGGUCGGCUGGAUCGAGUUAGGUCAAAAAGACGCCGUUUUGGGCAUCUGAGACCACCCCAAAACGGUACUGUUUUGGUAUCCUAUAAAAACCCUAAAAUUUCCAAAAAAAUUCAUUUUAACCUCUUACUUAAAAAGAAAAAAGAAAACUCUCCAAAACUCUCCCCUUACCCCCUAAGUUCGGUCCAGGGUCCGGUCAUCUUUCGGUCACUGGUCAUCAUCUCGACUGCAGGCCGCCGGCGACGGCGCUACCGUAUGCGG